UUGAUUUAAUUUUUUAAUUAACUUACUAGAUAUUCAAUUCACAAAUUUGAGGGCUUUUACUCUUUGAAUAAGAAAAAAAUACAGAUUCGAUGCCUUUUAAUCCCUCAUCUGCGUGCAAAGUUUGAUUAAAACCGGAGAUCGUCCAUACUUCUGAGAAGCUAUUCCUAAAGUACCAGAUUAUAAAUUAUCAAUUUUAACAAAAGAGAAGAGAGAACGAUAAAACUAGCUUCUGCGCCAAGUUUCGAACAAACUGUACUGUUUACAGAAAUUCUUUUCAACCUCAAACUUAUUAAAGUAUCGCAACUAGGCCACAAUUUCGUGAUUAAUUUCCCUUCAUCUUUCGCUCUUUCCAGGAAUUUCGUCAUUUCGACCUCGCUACUCGCGCCAGUUUCAUUUACAAAUGAUCAGCAGCGUCUCGCCUCCAGUCCGAGAUGAGCAAAACUUUAUUCGUACAAGAAAUGACAAUCGAAAUUAACGCGCAACAGUACCUCGCAAUUUUCCCAAAGCUUAACGGGUCGGAUAAUUUUUCGUCAGCGUCCAGUAAUCUACAAUCUCACGAUUAAAGUUCAACGAGUUACGGGUGAAAAGAUUUAUCUUCUAUCCCGCAUUAGAAAUUCUUUACGUGGAUAAAAAUUAUGCCCAUCUCCGGCUCUAACUCUCCACGAGAAGUGUUCUUCCCCGAAUGAAAUGUGGACAGAGCCACGGCAGAAAAUAUCACCCCCGUGAGCCACCGGGAAACUUCCCUGGGUCCGUUCGAAGAUAAACAGGGAAGUUUUCAGUUCUUGGGACACAAAUCAACUAGAAGGCGACUCUCCGUCUGUUCUUUCUUUAUUUUCUGCUCGUUCUUCUCGCUGGCCUGCGCCGUAACUGCGGGGAAACGUCUAGUUUCGUCUUUUCACUCGCAGCUUGUUGCUGCUGACGUAACGUUACGUCCUACACACAGUUCGUUGCUCGUUACUUUCGGUUGCCCGUUCAAUUCUUCGUAAGACGUUAAUAAAUUCGUAAUAUUACUUUUCAAAUUUCCAACGGCUCUGACAAGAAAUUGCAAGACCACCUGAUUAAGUUCCAAUAUAUUCCCCUAUUUAAAAUGAUAGAAAGCUUUUUCUUAAAUUAAACAAAUUACGGUAAAUCGCGAGGAUUUCAUACGAAACCCCAAUUUCGCGAUUCGAGCAAAGAAUAGGCUUUCCCCGCAGCUUUCGUAGAGCGAGCCACUCGAUCGAACGUUGGAACUCGAACGAUAUUCGAGGAGAGACGAGAGGCUGCCUGGAACUCGUUCUUAUCAGGCUUUGUUUUCCCGGUAAUUAUUUGUUUCCCUCGAAGGAGAGAAUAAGCGAGAGGAUCAUGGGGCGGGGGGGAGGAUUACUCGUAGCAACUUGGAAUUUCAAUUCGACACAUCACGGUGAUCUCUGUUACUACUGAUCACGAGAGUGCUCGAAGGAAACCGGAAACUGCGUAUCGAUCACGGGGCCGACCCCCUUCACCAUCGUUUGCUUGGAGAAGUCGGCAUUAGCAGGGUAGCCAAUAAAUUCACCGACGAUUAAUCAACUUCAGGAUGUCGUCGGUGUAUUGAGCGGGUAAUUUUCAAGCUACUAGAAGUCAAUUCACGGCUAUGAUAUACUGUAAUAUACAGCCACUUUGGAUACUUUCGAUUCGGAGGUUGGAAUAUAAAAAUUAGCGUGGAAACGUAGCAACUUAUUCUCAUUUAAUUCGUGUUAGAAAAAGUAGCAAACUAUCAAGCAAACUAUCGCUGAUGCGAAGGCGUAACGACGUGAAAAAAGCAGGUCGUUGCAAGUUUCAAACCGCGAAAAAUCGUCCGAGGAACUCGUUAGCCACCCUGAUUGAAGAAGGAAUCCUCCAAACACGCAACGUUCCAAUCGAGCACUGUUAAUUUCCGCCACGUGAUCUCUUCCAUCGCCAUCCCUCUCCAACGCAUUCUUAUCGAUUCUCCUCACCAGAAUCGACCGCUUGGAAAUCGAUUCACACGCCGAACCAGCGAAACGAACGUGAAAAUCGCCGAAUCGCGGUUUUGGGGACACUUAAAAAAAAGUCCAUCGCGUGGUUAUUGUUAAUGUGAACCCUCGACUGGCAGGACGAGCGUCGAAAUCGCCCAAGAGUAUUUUUCCAAAGCUUCGCAGUCAACCGACGACAACGGUCAUCUACCAGAGAUGGGCAAAAUACUCGAGUAACGACGAAAGAAAAUUUGGCACGUUAUUUAAUCCGAAGGCUUAGAUUGUAAUCACUAGACUGUGGACUUUAUAAACAUAUGCUAAAGGUAGCAAGAAUAUAUGCACUUACACAAAAUAGAAUGGUAACGUUAUACGAAUUUAAAUAAGAGGAAUUGUUGGUCACAAGUGGUCUUUAAAAACGAAAGCUAUGAAUUUUCUUAGGGGUGGUUUCUGAUCCACGUCGAUGAGAAAGGAUGAACCUUCCUAAAAAUAUUCACCAAUCUAUGAAAUGUGUCUUACACUUUAUAAAUAUUUUCCCUUAAAUACAUUAUAAAGUCCGUAGUCUAUUAAUUCUUCUCGAACAAACAACGGCUCAACAAGCAAUUUAUUAUCGCGUUCAGAGAUUUGCCCAUCUCUGUCGUCUACCAGAGACCUAGCAUGCUCCAUCGGUCUGUCGUGCGCUCUGGGCGAACGUUAAGCUGAACUGCCAAGAACAAUAAGUCGAAUUUUAUUGUCUGCAGGCGAUCUCUUGCAUCGAUUUCGCAGUGUACGGUUUCGUAACGAGUUAAUCUGGCGUUAACACGAGGACGGUCACGUGUCCGUUUAGACGAUGCGUACGUAUCCACCUGUUUCGUUGACGUCAGAUUGCAAACAGCUAUUGGAAAAACAUCCAACCUCUACCAACCGAGGGUUUAAUCACGCGUUACACCUUCCUAACGAUCAUUGGGACUGUCCAAUGAUUCACGCCGCGAAGGGAACAGUUUGUUAGUCGACGACUAGUAAACCGUGAAAGCGGCCAUCACCCAACUACUCCUCGUUAUUUUGCCCAGGUUUUUUUUAGCAGUCACACAAGCUGAAAACGAAACGGAUAGUCGUGUGUUUGUGUAUAUAAUGUGUGCGUGGGUGAGUGUGUGUGUUUGCUGGACGGACGGUCGAAAGUCAUCGCCUCGGGAACGAAGUCGACCUAGUCAUUUUAGGUUUUUCAUGGACUCUGGAGGAAGAAUUGCGCAGAUACUCGUUUGAUGGCAUCGACUUCAGAUUUUUUUGGGGACUCUUUAGUAAAGCUGUGGGAGAGAUUAAUCUAUAAAAAAAAUGAAAUAAGGGAAUUAUGUAAAAUUAAGGAAGCAAGAGAGAAGAAAGAAAAAUUGUUUAUCGAGGUGUGAACAAAUCGAAGAGAACUACAAUCUGGGAGUUCGAAGUAAGUUCAAUUUAAAUAAAACUUACUGUCCCGAAAUAAUGAAAAUAAUAUAAUGUAAAUAAAUGACUACAUUUUGGCUUCAUACUGAACCUUCGAGAGAAAAGCAGCGGGGAAACAAUGAAGUUUCUUCUUGGAAAAAGUUUGGGCGCGGAUGUUCGACCUGGAAAGGAUCAGAGGCCCCAAGCAGACGUUCUCGAGUCUCUGGUGUCGUCGAUCGUUACUUGAAAUGGAAAAUUAUAUUAACCCAGUUACGACUGAUAUCUUUCCGGACGGAUUUAGAACUUCUAUUAAAUAAAAUUUGCUUAAUACAGCGGAUUAUCCGAUAACGUCAUUCCAAGUAUUUCACACUUAUUUAUAGACACUUCAAUGACAAGAUUAUUAUUCAAUUCUGUGAUGAUUUAUAAAACUGUAUAAUUUCCACUUCCAAAAGAAGACUCUGUUCUGCUUUUAGGAAUCGCGAUACAAAUAUUUUUUUUUUAAAUUUCUGUCCUAUCUGGGUGAAUAUAUCUCCAGUUGGUGGCCUAACAGGAAGUAUCGACGGGUGCUGGGGUGAUAAGAAACCCCGUUUCUUUCUCUUGGGCCUGUUUAGUCUGCAAUGAACGUGAACAGGUGUAGACAGUCGCCAGUUAGAGACGAUGGGUCUGAUUAGAUCUUGGAUCUAAUUUUUGUUCGAAGCGGGAAACCUUUGGAGACUGGUGGAAAUUAGUUUCGUUUGAGUCGAGAGCGAGUUCCAUAGCAUUUAUCGUUCAAAAUAAAGACAUUGAUACGCAAAUGUUGGCGAAGUUGUUAAUUUCCGAGUUGGUAAUUGCCGAAUUACCCUACAAAAACUAAUUUAACGACAGCCACCAUUUACCUUCACGAAGACUGGAUUAUACUAAGAUUAGGGUGACUGUUACACUAAAGGAGAAGUCACGUACGCGACAGGGAGGUUACAGCGAAAACUUUCCCGAUUAAAUUCUCGAAACGUCCGUUCGGCCGCGAAUAGGAAUCGCAUUAAGGGCAUCUCCGAGGACUUUUAUAGUUGGCGAUAAAAAAAUUUACGACCAGGGCACGUGACGUCCCAGAACGAAGAUAAAUUUCUUGUUAGCGUCCGAGUGCGCGUGUGUCACGCGCUCCCGAAUGGGAUAAGGGUCUCCAAUUGCCCAUGAGAUACCCUAAUUGCUCGAGUUUUCAGCGAAAAUGAAGCCUCUGACGACGAAUUUGCUGGCACGCUUACGGAACGAAUAUUAUUGGGAACGAAGCCAUUUAGUGAAUCGUAAACGACUCCUUUAAAAGUGUUCGAUUUUCCUGUAAUAAAAAAAAAAAAAAUCAUAUAAACUUGUGUGCAACUUAGUUGUCUCGAUCAAACAUAUUUCCACCAUUCUCGUGAGUUCUCCCGGACAUUAAAUUAACUCUUUCGAUAUUUCGUGAGGCUUCCGCGUGCGGAGAACACGCGUGGACAUGUGCACAGUAUCGAAAGGAUGGGAAAUCGAUCUCCUACGUUCGCCACGUUCAUCAUCCACGAAUAGAAGACCGCGAACAGAGAGUAGCGUGCACUUGCGCCCUUUCAUUGCUGGAGGAACGAGUAUCUGGUAAUUGAGAGGUGUGGAACCACUCGAAUUAAACGAAUAUAUUCCAUUAACACUCUAUAGAACAUAGAGUGAAAGACAUGAUCUACUGUAAUAAAUUGUAAGAAAUUAAUUGUCAUGAACAGAUCCCAUAUUGACACUAUUGUUUCAACCCCUUACGAUUGAAAUUAUUAUUAGCCUCUGAGGGAAUUCGGUAAUAGACCACUGGUAUGAAUUAAUGAAAAGCUUUUGAAUUUAUUCACCCUUACAUGAAAAAUUGUAACUAGUAGCUGUUGUAAAUAGAUUGCUCGGUGGUCAAAGCAUGGACUCAGACUUUGAAAAUAUAGAACAGUUUGAAAAUAUAUCAAAGAACUAAUAAUUUCUCCCCGCUAUAGGGAAUCCAUCAAUUUCCUCCCUCGAGAGAGUCCAAGCUAAUAUUAUCAAUGACAAAUCGAACGGUAUCAGUCCACGUCUGAGGCAUCUGCGGACAGCUGAGCUUUCAGCAACGGGCCAAACACACGCACACACACCCAGGCCCUCAAACUUCUCCAGCGUCUUCAGCAAUGAAAGGGGUCAAAGGAAACCGCGUACACGCGUGCACAAAACAGGCCAUUAAUGACUUUCGACUUGCGGACAGUUCGUUAAUCACGUCGACAGGUCUCUGACGGUCGGCGAUGCCUCGACAUGUCGGGCGUACCUAGAAAGUAAGCGUGAUAAUAUUCGACGUUAAGCGUGGAAUCGGCUUUAGACCGCCUCGUUCCACGGAUUAGCAUCCGUGUGUUAGCCACAACAAAAUUAGAGAUAGAGAGAAAGAGAGACACAUACGGUGUACAAUAUCCCCGACAUAAAACGUGAGUGUGGUACUUUCUGCGAGUGAGUGUGGUGUCGGGCGUGUCGUCCGCGCGCGCGACGAUCCGAGGUGAAACGUAAAAACAGAGACAGAGAGACAGAAAAAAGAAACAUUGUUUGCUCGACAGAAACAUAGAAAACUGAGCGGGAGACCACCGUGCCAGAGAUAGGAAACGCUGGUUAGAUAUUUCGAACGUUCACUGUACUCGUUGCAUAAAAAUUAAAGAAUUUAAUGCUCCGCGAUACGGAGAAAUGGUGUUUUUCUUUAUUUUCAAUGUAGCGAAAUUUCAAGAAUUCAUACCAGAGUGUUAUUUGAGUAGAGUUUUGCCCAUCUCUGACAUCCGGCGAGUUGGCAAAGUUUAGGAGCCUGCUUUUCCUGGUUCUUAGAGGAAAUAGGGGAUGAAGAGUUGAGGAAGAAGAUUUUUGGGAAAAAGAGGAGGGGAAUCAACGUGUCCUCGUACCACCUAGAUGAAUGAAGAGAACUAUUCGAGGAGAUACUGAUGACUCCUGAGGAAUAAUUACGUCCUAGAGAGCCUUGGUCCCAUCGAAAGAUCCCUCCAUUUUCUACAAGAAAGCCAACUAAGAAAUUUAUAUGCAUAAACUACCCUAACAAAUUUUCCGAAAAUUCUACAAAUUUCUUCCCAUAGAUAAUUAACCAUGUAACAGAAAAACAAGCAUUUGUUUCACUUCUUUCAUAUCUAUGAGAAUAUCUAUGGUCUUGACACACCUAAACGAGGAAAGCAUUUUUCCUUGCUCUGUUUUCUCCAGGUUUGAAAAGUAACAGAAACCACGGUCGACUUUCUUUGUCUCUGGCCGCAGGAAGUCCGAGAAGUGUCGGGAGCUCCUUCGAGCUGCAAUUAGAAAUUGGACAAGAAGACCCCGCUAGUUUUGCCAACUGAGAAAAGUUUCGAGGAGCGGUUCUUCGCGUAGCACUCAACAAGAGCCAAGAAGUGGCGUUAGGUUCGCCUGACGCUAUCGGAUGAGCUCGCGAGCAGGCUUUUUUCUUGGGGAAAAAAAAAAUAAAGUAGAGAAGUCGUUGAAGCUGAAUUCCCUGGAAAAGCUGAUUCGAUUUGUCUGAUAAAUUAGAAGAAGGAUUUCUGAGUUUGAAGCGUAAUACCGAGACGCACUGUGAAAGAAAGAGUUGAGGUUCAGAAACGCUCAGUUAUUUUCUAGGACACUCUAAUAGCAUUAACGAGGAUUCAUCCACUGAUUCAUUCAAAGAUACACUUCCCAAGCAUCCAGCUAUACUCUUCCACUCGUCGAGAUCCCUUCACCGAGGACUUCCUGUUCGAAUUCAACCAAGACCAAUCUCCAGCAGAGUCCCGUCAGUCAUAAUCACUCUUCACGGAGACCCCCUGGGACCAAGCAUUCUUCUUCGAUGCUGUGAAACGCUUGCUUGGCUCAAUCCGCGAGCAAUCUCCUCGCGGGGAUUCCUGAAAGGACAGUGGAAGAGGCUACCAGCGCGGACAAAGAAACAAGCGCGAGGAAGAGCUCUGUGGAUCUCCUGAUCUGUCCACUUUGCAGCAACAGUGAAAGCACUCGAUCUCAUGGAAGGCGCAGACGGAGACGCGAAACACGUGAUUCAGGGCACAGGAACGAGAGGACAGUCUUGAUCUUCGUGGCCAUGAGGGAACAGAGCCUCGGAGAACAGCGAGAGGACGUGCAACCAUAUGGCAGGUGUAGUCACGGACACCAACAAUGGGAGCGAGUGUUUCUAUGCCCAACCCUUUCGCUGCGGACGUACGUGCACAGAGGAGGCUCCGAGGUCAACACUGCUGAGCUGGGAAACUAUUUGCGAAGGAUUUGCUAUCUUCCAUAGGAGGAAUACGCUGAAUGUUCGAUAAGUGUCACGCAGGACGGUGUUGCGACACACUUAUUGAUUGAAGGUAGCGAAAUUGAAUCGUUCUUCCGUCUCCUCUGGGUGAGACGUUAACGAACAAUGCUUUGUACGCUUAAUCUUCCAAAGAAGUACCCAUAUAAGCAACGAUGAACUUCAUCGACAGGAGCUUAGUAAUCGUAAUAGUGCAUGAAACUAUUAAUUAAGCAUGUAUAAGCACGUUCCUUUGAACAAUUAGCAACGAGCGCAAGUAAAUUCGACUGCCGAAGGACGUGUUCCUUUACCCACGGUUCGUGACUUGAUCAAUUAGCGAAAGGGUUAAGAUCAUUCCGGUUGUGAAUCAUCGCGCAACCACGCCAAAGACUACGCUCGAGGACACGUUCAGGGUUGAGAGUGGUUAGCGGGAGAGACUGAACGUACAGACACAGGCGAUUAAGGCGAGACAUAGACAGAGAAAGGUAAGAAGAAAGUGAACGUGAAAGACAGAGAUAUAGAGCAAAACAGACUGUAGUACAAAGUAUAUAAAGAGAAAGAAACAGACAGAUAAAAGAUACAGAGAGAGAGAGAGAGAGAGAGAGAGAGAGAGAAACCGUCGCUGUCGUUUUUUUUUUCUUGGUUUAAAAAAAAAAGUAAUAAUAAAAGAAGAAAAAAAACAGCACAGCGACCACGUAAAAUAUCGCCGCCUUAGGUAUUCUUGUAAUUAGAGACAAAGAAAAAUAAGACAUUAAGUAGUG